rnacentral:snRNA from 1 species
UAUCUGUUCUUAUCAGUUUAAUAUCUGAUAUGCCCUCUAUAUGAGGGGUUCAUAUUGGGUGGAUUUUUAAACCAGGGAGCCAGAACAGGAGCUUGCUCCUUCUGCUCUGCGCAUCGACUGGGUAUUGCAGUACCUCCAGGAGUGGUGC